rnacentral:rRNA from 1 species
UCCUCCUACGGGACGCAGCAGUGGGGGAUAUUGCACAAUGGGGGGAACCCUGAUGCAGCGACGCCGCGUGGGUGAAGAAGCGCCUCGGCGCGUAAAGCCCUGUCAGCAGGGAAGAAAAUGACGGUACCUGAAGAAGAAGCCCCGGCUAACUACGUGCCAGCAGCCGCGAUAAUACGUAGGGAGCAAGCGUUGUCCGGAAUUACUGGGUGUAAAGGGAGCGUAGGCGGGGAUGCAAGUUGGGUGUCAAAACUAUCGGCUCAACCGAUAGUCG